rnacentral:rRNA from 1 species
UACGAAGGGGGCUAGCGUUGCUCGGAAUCACUGGGCGUAAAGGGUGCGUAGGCGGGUCUUUAAGUCAGGGGUGAAAUCCUGGAGCUCAACUCCAGAACUGCCUUUGAUACUGAGGAGCUUGAGUCCGGGAGAGGUGAGUGGAACUCCGAGUGUAGAGGUGAAAUUCGUAGAUAUUCGGAAGAACACCAGUGGCGAAGGCGGCUCACUGGCCCGGUACUGACGCUGAGGUGCGAAAGCGUGGGGAGCAAACAGG